UCCGGUGGCGAUGCGCUUGGGGGAAACACCCGUUCCCAUCCCGAACACGAUGGUUAAGACUCAAGCGGCCGAUGGUACUAUGCUGGUGACGGCAUGGGAGAGCAGGUGGCUGCCGGAU
rnacentral:rRNA from 2 species